rnacentral:rRNA from 1 species
UGGAUCCAGACUUUGAUCCUGGCUCAGGAUGAACGCUAGCGACAGGCUUAACACAUGCAAGUCGAGGGGCAGCGGGGCUGAAAGCUUGCUUUCAGCUGCCGGCGACCGGCGCACGGGUGAGUAACACGUAUGCAACCUGCCUGUGACAGAUGGAUAACCGGGAGAAAUUCCGCCUAAUACAGCAUAAAGCUUCCUGAAGACAUCUUCUUGAAGCCAAAGGAGGCAACUCCGGUCACAGAUGGGCAUGCGGCGCAUUAGGUAGUUGGUGAGGUAACGGCUCACCAAGCCGACGAUGCGUAGGGGUUCUGAGAGGAAGGCCCCCCACAUUGGAACUGAGACACGGUCCAAACUCCUACGGGAGGCAGCAGUGAGGAAUAUUGGUCAAUGGCCGAAAGGCUGAACCAGCCAAGUCGCGUGAGGGAAUAAGGCCCUACGGGUCGUAAACCUCUUUUGCCGGGGAGCAAGAUUCUCUACGUGUAGAGAAUCGGAGAGUACCCGGAGAAAAAGCAUCGGCUAACUCCGUGCCAGCAGCCGCGGUAAUACGGAGGAUGCGAGCGUUAUCCGGAUUUAUUGGGUUUAAAGGGUGCGUAGGCGGAUUCUCAAGUCAGCGGUCAAAACCCGGGGCUCAACCCCGGCCUGCCGUUGAAACUGGGAAUCUUGAGUGAGCGAGAAGUAAGCGGAAUGCGUGGUGUAGCGGUGAAAUGCAUAGAUAUCACGCAGAACCCCGAUUGCGAAGGCAGCUUACCGGCGCUCAACUGACGCUGAGGCACGAAAGUGCGGGGAUCAAACAGGAUUAGAUACCCUGGUAGUCCGCACAGUAAACGAUGAAUGCUAAUUGUUCGGAGGGAAUGACCUCUGAGUGAUACAGUGAAAACGUUAAGCAUUCCACCUGGGGAGUACGCCGGCAACGGUGCAACUCAAAGGAAUUGACGGC